UACAGAGGUCCCAAGCGUUGUUCGGAUUCACUGGGCGUAAAGGGUGCGUAGGUGGCGGGGUAAGUCGGAUGUGAAAGCUCGGAGCUCAACUCCGAAAUGGCAUUGGAAACUACCUUGCUCGAGGGUUGGAGGGGGGACUGGAAUGCUUGGUGUAGCAGUGAAAUGCGUAGAUAUCAAGCGGAACACCAGUGGCGAAGGCGAGUCCCUGGACAACUCCUGACACUGAGGAGCGAAAGCUAGGGUAGCAAACGGG
rnacentral:rRNA from 1 species